AUGGUGAACUGCGUGGCGCCGGGGCCCGUGGCGACGGAGCUCUUCUUCGAGGGGAAGAGCGAGGAGGCGGUGGAGAGGUUCAGGGUUGGGCACCCGAUUGGGCGGCUUGGGGAGGUCGGCGACAUCGCGCCCGCGGUCGGGUUCCUCUGCACUGACGCGGCCGAGUGGGUGAACGGCCAGGUCCUUCGGGUCAACGGCGGCAUUGCUUAA
rnacentral:rRNA from 1 species